GUAGCACAAUCACUUGUCCCUUAAAUGGGGACGCGUAUGAAAGGCAACAUGAGAGAAAACCUGUCUCCUAAGGAAUGCCAAUGAAAUUGAACUGCCAGUUCAAAAGCUGGUAUAAAAAAGCAAGACAAAAAGACCCUGUGGAACUUUAAUUAACUGCUUUACAUAAUACAAACCAGUAAUUUCAGUUGGGACAACUUUAGAAAAAAUAAACUUCCUAAUUUUACUAGACUAACUAGUCCAAAACAACCAUGACCCAGUAGUACUGAUUAACGAAACAAGCUACCCCAGGGAUAACAGCGCUACCUUCUCAAAGAGUUCAUAUCAACAAGAAGAUCUACGACCUCGAUGUUGGAUCAGGGUACCCAGACGGUGCAGCAGCUGUCAAUGGUUCGUUUGUUCAACGAUUAAUACCCU
rnacentral:rRNA from 1 species